CAAUUUUACAGAGAGGACAGAAGGUUUUUCUAAGUGGACCACCCGCAACAAAACUCCGGUUAUGCCGAGCUGGCGAAGGGAUAGACGGUGUGCGGAGCGUCCAGUUAAGAUUUUUAUAUAUAUUUCCCCAAUCGACUCAACGUGGGGAAUUCCCACACCCUGAAAGCCGGGCAUUAUUAGGGAAGUGUUGGCCCCUUUUAAGUUAUUUCUAAGAACGUUUACUUUUUGCUUACUUUCCUCAGAUUUCCACGAGUUCAUCCCCUGGUUUUGGAUAAUGGCAAUGGCUGUUUUUUUGUUUGAUAGAACCGAUUCAAAUCGUUCAGGGGAUUGUUUCAGCGAUUCGUCCUGAGUCUCAUUCACUUCUCGGGGUUUCCUGCCGGACGUGUCUCCCCCGUAGUUUCCACGCCCCUCCGGUAGUUUCCCUUUUGACAAUUUGGACAUUUGGGAGUUAUCGUGUUUUGCUUACCACAUCGAUAGCAAAACAACGACCUUGCUGUGGAUGGACAAUCCACGAAUGUGUGCCCUGAUUCCUGACAAUUCCAGCAAACAUACACCUUGUUGUGCUGUUGUGCCAUCCGAAUAGCAGAGACAGUAUCAGGUUCACAUCUCUAGACUGAACUCUUCUAGUCCCCGGUGUAAGAAAAUUGUCACCCUCAUUUUCUAUCCCAGUUGGUGCAGUUUGAGGGUUAUUAUCUAUGUUCCCAUGACCAGGACGAUUUAUAAUGGUGGAAGAUAAGUCCCUAAAUUGCCCUGUAUUUUCCAUGUUUCCAGUUUCUAAUUCAUUCAUCUUUUUCUUUUUAGGUUCGAUUUGACCUUGAUCGGAAUUAGCAUCAAAAUGUAACGGCCAGUUUCUUUUAUUCGCUGUCUUUGACCUGGUAUACAUUCCCUAAACUACGUUUUCUAUAUAGAUAAAACUAGUUGUUAAAAUGCACUUUGAUACUUUUACUAUCUUAUCUUAGACUUAAAGUCUUUAAUUUCUCUUUUUUUUUUUUUUUUUUUUUUUUUGAUUCUUGAUCGAGUUUAAUUUAAAUUAUUUGGUAUUUACCAGUCAAUAAAAUUACAAGUUUAUCAUCAAAAAUUGUAAUUUUCUAUAUUCUUUCACUUAUUAUUUUUAAUAUAUAUAUAUUUUUUUUUUAUGGAAGGUUUAUGGUAGUGUUUGUAAGGUAGAUGAAAUGGGAGCACAUUGGCUAAAAAAAAUCUAAUUGUUAUUAUCGCCAAUCUUUUCCUCAGACGAAUUAAAUCACAUUAUUUUACUGCUUAAAGCCAAUAAAAAUGAGCGUUUAAAAAUCCUCAGAAUGUCCUUAUAAACUUAUAAUAUAUGUAUAUGAACAAAUAAAUCUUCUAAGACUAGCUGCCAUUGCAUUGCUUCCCUCUUUUUAUUGAAAGUAAAGAUCAUAUGGGUUGUGGCCAUCGACACUUAUCUCACGGGAAUUAUUCACCUGGGAUGCCGAUUUCUUAUAGCCAGCAAAAUCUUAUCUUGGAUCUAUUCAAAAUUAUAAAAAAAAAAACAGUACAAAACAUCACAGGUCGAUUACAACAUUCAUAGUUACAAAAACACAACUAGAGAUUGCACUAAGACCCUUUCCUAUAAAUCUAGCCAAUAUUAUUCUAAUACUAAUAUUGCACAUUUAAUCAGAACCUAUCUAAUCCAUAGGUCUGGUUGCAAUACCAGUUAGAUACUUUAGCUGAGGACUAGAUUUCGAAACUAUUGAAUCUAGGCUGAUCUAUUGCUUUGUGUUUGGGUAUUACACACAAUAAACAUUACUUUUCCUUGAAUUACCAAUAUGGCAAUCUAGGUAUUUAUUUCUAAAUUGGGCGCCAUUCUGUUAUGACCGCUCUUACAGUAUCGGUUUGGCCUUCCGGCUGCUCAAGACUCUCAGGUAGGUUCUCAACCGCCAAACGAACUUCGGGUCCAACAUCAUUUAUUUCAUGGGUGAACGAAUACAAAUAUUUACUCUAAAACAAAACACACAGAGAACAUUCCUUGAGGAUUUUAAGGUCCCUUGCUGUUCGGAACCCCCACUCGGCCCACCCUACCAUGGUCCACGAAACCCUAUUUUUCAUUAUGUGGACCCCAUUGACUCCCUUACUCUAUUCACCACCCCACUCGACCAUAAUCCUUCCAAUAAUUUUUUCUCAAACAAUAUUCAUUUUAAUUCUUAUAAUACGAUUCACAUUUUUAUUCGGACAUUAAAAUUAGGAAGCUGAAUAUCGAAAUUACAAAGUCGAAAGGACCUUAUUAUUAGAUUUGCUUUCUUAUAUUGUCAAAAAUUAAAUUUAUUCCCUAUCAGGACCUAUACUAAGGGGAUUGGGUAUUUUUCACUGGCUUGAAAUUUCGCCAGAAAGUUACCGACUAUGUUAAGACGCCUACCUAAUCGAGCUCAAUUAAGUAUAUAAUAUUUCCGAGACCAUCUACGUCUCACGACAAAAAAAAACGGUUUAUAAGACCCCUGCCCUUGAUAUAUAGUCCCUUACAAUAAAUAAAAAAAUAAAGAAAAAACAAUCACAACAAAAAUACUAUAAUAACACAAAAAUGUAAAUAAAAAAACUUAGACUAAGAUUUACGUAAAUUGUUUCCUCGAAUAAGUAUCAAAAAAAAAUAUAAUAAAAGUAUCAAAAAAAAUAAAAAUUAAUAAAGUCAAACUUGGGUUGUUUUCUUCUGCGCCUAACGGCCGGCUAUAGUUUCCAAAGUAUAAGGAUGUUUAUCGUUUUAUAACACUUUGUUACCUUGCUGUUAUACUGAACUCUUCCUGGGCCACUGGUAUAUUAGUUUUCCUUUCUCAGCGAGAAAACUGACAUAAAAUCACGACCAUAUGAUGAAUUUUGCAGUGUUGAAAUAUAUUUCGGAUAGAGUCCACUUUUCAGCAGCUGAUCUUAGGCACUGGCACAAUUGGCAUACACAGGGUGUUUGGUGACCACAGGAUGCAGCUGACAAUCGCUAGCUGCCGAGCGUAUCUUUAAGAAAUUAUCAGCGUUCAGAUACUAAGGUUUUCUUUAAGCAGCUACGAACGUCAGUCCAAUUUUUCGUAUUGCUCUUGAACUUUUCACAAUCCUUUUUAUUUGGAAGUGUUCGCUGGCUAUCAUGCCUUUAAACUUUAUUUAACUCUUUAUGAAUAGUUUGCUUGUUUUAUUUUUUUUUAUUCUGUUACAAUUGUUUUGGAAACACGCAUAAAAUUACGCUCGCACUGAAACCGUUCACAAAAUAAAAAGAAAGCUUCUUCGUGCUGACUUUGCUUUUAUAUGCGCAUAUUCCAACUGCAACAUAAUUCCAAUAAUGCAUUUAAUAUUGGUAUUAAUACAAUAUAAUUUCUCUUUCUUCCGCCAUCAUUGACGUUAUUUGGGAAA